rnacentral:lncRNA from 1 species
GCCAGGAGCUGGGCAAAGCACCUGCAGAAAGCCCCCAAGGAACGGCUGUGGUGAAGGUCCGAUGAUGCCAAACAUUUUCAUUUCUCAGGAGAAAAAGUCAGUGGUGCUUGGCAGGAUUUGGACUUCUCUGCAAGACACCUCUGAUCACAACACAUCCUCAUGGUUUGAAAAAUUCAUCCAAGAACCUGCAAUGUCACAAACAGGAGCUGGAGCUAAACAUGUCUGGGAAGACAAAUUCCUUAACUGUUCAGUGCUGAAGGACAUGGUCCCACUGUUUCUUGGUCAGAUCAGGUUUUUUGUUGUUUCAUGGGACAAGUUCUGUCCUUUGGUGAGUAAAGCAGGAUUGAUUUCAGUCAGAAGUAAUGUGUGUGUGCACCCAAGAACUGGCUUUUGUUCUGUAUGAAGCAACCACUCUCACUGAUUUAUGCCCCACAUUUUCAAAAAUGCAAUAAUAGCACUGCAUUGUCUAAAUCAGGAAUGUGUACAUUAUCCUAAAAGUUGAGAUGCAGGAGAGCAGAAGAACACCUUUGUCAGGUCAAGAAACGUGAUUAUUUCCAUGGCUACCAGCAGCUCUUAAUUGCCAUAAUAGGCUCUUAUUCGGGGAGAAGUAGUUAGGUUUGCACAGAAGAGUGAAUAGGUACUUUAUGAAAAAACCAUUAACUACAGAGAAAAGUUCUCAAAGUAGAACUGAAAUAUGGAACAAAAUACAGGCAGCUGCUUGGCAUCUCCAGAAAUAGUACACAGGGUGUUCUUAGUCAUCCAUGUCUUCUAUAGGGAAAACAACACAAAUAUCCCAUUAAAAUAUUUAAUUACUGUAAUACUCCUUAUUACCAACUAAACAUAAAUAAAAG